CUGGUGGUAGCAAGUGGCACCUUCAGCCCAAGAGAGCUAGGCCAGCCAGAGAGGCCAGGGCUGGGUGGCGGGGGUGGGCCCAAUGGUGCAGCUGGGCUUCGGUGCUGUCAGGCCACAUCCAUGGGCAACUGAUGGUUGCAGCAAUGACUGGAGCACACCAUGGGCUAGCGAGAUGCGGAGUGAGGCAUGGAAAUGUUUGCUACAUUGCACCUCUUCAGUCCCCUCUGUUGCCCACCCCUCCCUACCCCUCCCUUCACUCUCCACCUUGUACUGCAUGGGUUAAGCAGCUGGAGUCCUCGGCAAGAUGCAGAGGUGUCUGGCUGCAGAGUGAUAGCUGAGACCUAAGACCCAAGAAGACACUGCAAUGCCCAAGGCAGGGUCAGGGACGCCGUCUCUUAAGACUCAGAACUUUAUGGGGAGCAGAAGCCGUCACUGACUACCCAAGAAAGGUGGGCUUGAUUUGGAUCUGUACCCGCCCUGUGAGACUCUAUCCGGUAGAAAAGAACUAGUUCCUCAAAAGGAAAUUGGCAAAAUCUUAAACAC
rnacentral:lncRNA from 1 species